GACGAACGCUGGCGGCGUGCCUAAUACAUGCAAGUAGAACGCACAGUUUAUACCGUAGCUUGCUACACCAUAGACUGUGAGUUGCGAACGGGUGAGUAACGCGUAGGUAACCUGCCUGGUAGCGGGGGAUAACUAUUGGAAACGAUAGCUAAUACCGCAUAAUAUUGAUUAUUGCAUGAUAAUUGAUUGAAAGAUGCUAUUGCAUCACUACCAGAUGGACCUGCGUUGUAUUAGCUAGUAGGUGAGGUAACGGCUCACCUAGGCGACGAUACAUAGCCGACCUGGGAGGGUGGUCGGCCACACUGGGACUGGGACACGGCCCAGACUCCUACGGGAGGCAGCAGUAGGGAAUCUUCGGGAAUGGACGAAAGGCUGACCGAGCAACGCCGGGUGAGUGAAGAAGGUUUUCGGAUCGUAAAGCUCUGUUGUAAGGGAAGAACGGGUGUGAGAGUGGAAAGUUCACACUGUGACGGUAUCUUACCAGAAAGGGACGGCUAACUACGUG
rnacentral:rRNA from 1 species